GGAACGUAUCAUAUGGAAAAAGCAUUGGAAAUAUCUCCUGAAUGUUGCCAACUAUGUCGCAGAAAAGUUAUUGAAAAGAAAUUAGUUAAAAUUUAUCCAUCUUCCACUUCAGCUAUUUCCAUAUAGAAAUAUUAAAUUUUAAAAUCAUUCAAUUCAUAAUUCCAGCGAUUUUUGUUUUGAAUCAAUUCAAGUCUUCAAGAUUCAAAGUAAUGAAGUUUCAAUUUGUGCGUUAGCCGACUUUUGUGUUAAAGAUGAAUUUUUGGUUCAGCGAUUGUUGAUAUUGGUAUUCUUUUGAGCAUUGUACAAUAAGAAUUUAAAGAUUACAGAAUUUACGAAUGUUU